rnacentral:rRNA from 1 species
AUUGAACGCUGGCGGCAGGCCUAACACAUGCAAGUCGAGCGGAUGACGGGAGCUUGCUCCUUGAUUCAGCGGCGGACGGGUGAGUAAUGCCUAGGAAUCUGCCUGGUAGUGGGGGACAACGUUUCGAAAGGAACGCUAAUACCGCAUACGUCCUACGGGAGAAAGCAGGGGACCUUCGGGCCUUGCGCUAUCAGAUGAGCCUAGGUCGGAUUAGCUAGUUGGUGGGGUAAUGGCUCACCAAGGCGACGAUCCGUAACUGGUCUGAGAGGAUGAGCAGUCACACUGGAACUGAGACACGGUCCAGACUCCUACGGGAGGCAGCAGUGGGGAAUAUUGGACAAUGGGCGAAAGCCUGAUCCAGCCAUGCCGCGUGUGUGAGGAAGGUCUUCGGAUUGUAAAGCACUUUAAGUUGGGAGGAAGGGCAGUAAGUUAAUACCUUGCUGUUUUGACGUUACCGACAGAAUAAGCACCGGCUAACUCUGUGCCAGCCGCCGCGGUAA